rnacentral:rRNA from 1 species
GGAGUCACGCCAGAAAUCUUACCCGGAGAGACAGCGGAAUGAAGGUCAAGCUGAAGACUUUACCAGACAAGCUGAGAGGUGGUGCAUGGCCGUCGCCAGCUCGUGCCGUGAGAUGUCCUGUUAAGUCAGGUAACGAGCGAGAUCCCUGCCUCUAGUUGCCACCAUUACUCUCAGGAGUAGUGGGGCGAAUUAGCGGGACCGCCGCAGUUAAUGCGGAGGAAGGAAGGGGCCACGGCAGGUCAGUAUGCCCCGAAACUCUGGGGCCACACGCGGGCUGCAAUGGUAGCGACAAUUGGUUUCGAAUCCGAAAGGAUGAGGUAAUCCACAAACGCUACCACAGUUAUGACUGAGGGCUGCAACUCGCCCUCACGAAUAUGGAAUCCCUAGUAACUGCGUGUCAUUAUCGCGCGGUGAAUACGUCCCUGCUCCUUGCACACACCGCCCGUCGUUUCAUUGAAGUGAGCUUUUAGCGAGGUGACGUCUGAUUGGCGUUAUCGAACUUGAGGUUCGUGACAAGGGAAAAGUCGUAACAAGGUGACCGUAGGGGAACCUGCGGUCGGAUCA